AGUGUGUAUUAGUCAACCUUCAUAGUUACU
rnacentral:piRNA from 1 species